rnacentral:rRNA from 1 species
UACGGAGGGUGCAAGCAUUAAUCGGAAUUAUUGGGCGUAAAGGGCGCGUAGGCGGUUUAGUAAGUCAGAUGUGAAAUUUCGAAACUCAACUUCGAAGCUGCAUUUGAUACUGUUUUUCUAGAGGGUUGGCGGAGAAAACGGAAUUCCACAUGUAGCGGUGAAAUGCGUGGAUAUGUGGAAGAACACCUGUGGCGAAAGCGGUUUUCUAGCUAACUCCUGACGCUGAGGCGCGAGAGCAAGGGGAGCAAAC